CUUGUUGGUGGGGUAAUGGCCUACCAAGGCUUUGACGGGUAGCCGGCCUGAGAGGGCGACCGGCCACACUGGGACUGAGACACGGCCCAGACUCCUACGGGAGGCAGCAGUGGGGAAUAUUGCACAAUGGGCGAAAGCCUGAUGCAGCGACGCCGCGUGAGGGAUGACGGCCUUCGGGUUGUAAACCUCUUUCAGCAGGGACGAAGCGCAAGUGACUGUACCUGCAGAAGAAGCACCGGCUAACUACGUGCCAGCAGCCGCGGUAAUACGUAGGGUGCGAGCGUUGUCCGGAUUUAUUGGGCGUAAAGAGCUUGUAGGCGGCUCGUCACGUCGGGUGUGAAAACCCGCGGCUCAACCGCGGGCCUGCACCCGAUACGGGCGGGCUAGAGUUCGGCAGGGGAGACUGGAAUUCCUGGUGUAGCGGUGGAAUGCGCAGAUAUCAGGAGGAACACCGGUGGCGAAGGCGGGUCUCUGGGCCGAUACUGACGCUGAGAAGCGAAAGCGUGGGGAGCGAACAGGAUUAGAUACCCUGGUAGUCCACGCCGUAAACGUUGGGAACUAGGUGUGGGGUCCAUUCCACGGGCUCUGUGCCGCAGCUAACGCAUUAAGUUCCCCGCCUGGGGAGUACGGCCGCAAGGCUAAAACUCAAAGGAAUUGACG
rnacentral:rRNA from 1 species